rnacentral:rRNA from 1 species
GACGAACGCUGGCGGCGUGCUUAACACAUGCAAGUCGAACGGGUCUGCCCUGUUUUUUGCGGGGUGGGUCAGUGGCGACCGGGUGAGUAACACGUGAGUAACCUGCCCCUCACUUCUGGAUAACCGCUUGAAAGGGUGGCUAAUACGGGGUGUUCUGGCUGUGCCGCAUGGUGUGGCUGGGAAAGAUUCACUUUUGUGGUGUUUUGGUGGGGGAUGGGCUCGCGGCCUAUCAGCUUGUUGGUGGGGUGAUGGCCUGCCAAGGCUUUGACGGGUAGCCGGCCUGAGAGGGUGGGCGGUCACACUGGGACUGAGAUACGGCCCAGACUCCUGCGGGAGGCAGCAGUGGGGGGUAUUGCACAAGGGGCGGAAGCCUGAUGCAGCGGCGUCGCGUGAGGGAUGGAGGCCUUCGGGGUGUGAACCUCUUUCGCCGGUGAAGAAGGUCCUGCUCUUUGUGGUGGGGUUGACGGUAGCCGGGUUAUGAAGCGCCGGCUAACUACGUGC